rnacentral:rRNA from 1 species
UACAGAGGGUGCGAGCGUUGUCCGGAAUCACUGGGCGUAAAGGGCGCGUAGGCGGCUUUUCAAGCGUGCGGUGAAAGCUCGGGGCUUAACUCCGAGUCUGCCGUGCGGACUGGGAGGCUUGUGUCUGGUAGAGGUCGAUGGCAUUCCGGGUGUAGCGGUGGAAUGCGUAGAGAUCCGGAAGAACACCGGUGGCGAAGGCGGUCGUCUGGGCCGGUACUGACGCUGAGGCGCGACAGCGUGGGGAGCAAACAGG